GUCCUUGUGGUGUAGUGGUCAGCAUACCUGCCCGGAAAGCAAGGAGACGUGGGUUCGAAUCCCACCGAGGCACA